AGGAUUUUUCAAGACCUGUCACGUCCCAAAGUUGGAGUGACUCAGGUUCGUGGAUUUCCUUUGUCAGAAUUAAGGUGAAACGACACCAGGGGAGUUCAAACAACAAUCAACAUUUAUUCAACCUAGCUAACCUUGCCCA